AUUUUUUUGUAGAAAAUUCUAAAAUUAAUAUCGGCGCUUGGAAUCGGAAUCUUUCUCGCAUCCUUACAUUUAUAGGGUAGACAUAAAUAAAGCCAAGAAAAUUCUAAAAUUAUUUAUACAGUACCUCAAGGCAAAGUCAUGACAUUAGUGCCUCCUUUGAUAAAUCCUUGACAAGAAGUUGGAGACAGUGAUGUGGGAAUUUCUGGGAACUUGUUGGAAGAAAGUCAAAAGUUCAAUCAUCCACAAGAAGUUGGAGACAGUGAUGUGGGGAUAAUUUGUACUAAGUUUAUUCAUAAUUGCAUAAUGCUCUUCUUUAGAUUUAUCAGGAUGGUGGUGAAUAUGUUUCAAUGUAAAUUUCAUUUUAUUACAAAUUCAAUUGUUUUUUAGAUAUUUUUAUUAUUAAUUGUAAAAAAUGCUAACAUAUAAAAAUUGAAUUUAUUA